UACGUAGGGGGCUAGCGUUGUCCGGAUUUAUUGGGCGUAAAGCGCGUGUAGGCGGCCCUGCAAGUCGGAUGUGAAAUCCCACGGCUCAACCGUGGAAGUGCAUUCGAAACUGCAGGGCUAGAGUCCUGGAGAGGAAGGUGGAAUGCUUGGUGUAGAGGUGAAAUUCGUAGAUAUCAAGCGGAACACCGGUGGCGAAGGCGGCCUUCUGGACAGUGACUGACGCUGAGACGCGAAAGCGUGGGGAGCAAACAGG
rnacentral:rRNA from 1 species